rnacentral:rRNA from 1 species
GACAGAGGGGCAAGCGUUGUUCGGAAUUACUGGGCGUAAAGGGCUCGUAGGCGGCCAACUAAGUCAGACGUGAAAUCCCUCGGCUUAACCGGGGAACUGCGUCUGAUACUGGAUGGCUUGAGGUUGGGAGAGGGAUGCGGAAUUCCAGGUGUAGCGGUGAAAUGCGUAGAUAUCUGGAGGAACACCGGUGGCGAAGGCGGCAUCCUGGACCAAUUCGUGACGCUGAGGAGCGAAAGCCAGGGGAUCAAACAGG